CAGAUUUUCCUCGGAUUGGAAAUCCUCUUCCUCGCUGCAGUACUUCUUACCAACAGCAAUCACCUGUAUUGUGGGAGUCACUAUUUCUCAACUAAUCGUUAGGGUGUUUUUGGUUGACCCACGCGAACGCGACUGAAUAGAAACAGGAACCAACUUUGUCGCGAUUCCAAAGCUACAAGGGUUACAAAUGAAAGUGAUGAGACUUCUCUCACCAAUUAAUUGUACACGUUUUCAGUUUGUUAGUGUGUGAUAUCGGGUAUAAAAAAGUUUGACACUGAUGGUUAUGAUCGGAUGAAGUCGUCUCAAAUAAAACUAUGAAGGACCUCGGCGUUACUCUGGACCCUGAUCUCUCUUUUGACGAACAUAUCAAGACUGUUUCAAGGGGCUGAGUCACUGGCUUACGUGAUCUUCCUGUCUGGGUUGGCGCCCCCCCUUGGGUUGUGCCGUGGCGGAGAUCUUUGUGGGCUAUACUCGGCAUUGUCUCAGGAUGGAUCUGAGCCCUAGGACCAUGCCUCAGGACUACCUGGCCUGAUGACUCCUUGCUGUCCCCAGUCCACCUGGCCGUGCUGCUGCUCCAGUUUCAACUGUUCUGCCUGCGGCUAUGGAACCCUGACCUGUUCACCGGACGGCUAUGAAAAGCCAACUGACAUUUACUCCUGAGGUGCUUACGUGUUGCACCCUCGACAACCACUGAUUAUUAAUUUGUCCAUGCUGGUCAUCUAUGAACUUUUGAUCAUCUUGACCAUGUUCUGUUAUAAUCUCCACCCGGCACAGCCAGAAGAGGACUGGCCAAUCCUCAUAGCCUGGAUCCUCUAGGUUUCUUCCUCAGUUCUGGCCUUUCUAAGGAGUUUUUCCUAGCCACCGUGCUUCUACACCUGCAUUGCUUGGGGUUUUAGGCUGGGUUUCUGUACAGCACUCGAGAUAUCAGCUGAUGUAAGGGCUUUAUAAAUAAAUUUGAUUUGAUUGGAAGCAGAUCUUAAAUUCCAUUCACUACCCCAAUAACAUAGAGGGAUACAAAUGAUCAAAGCUUGAUACACACAACCCUUCCACUGUUCAGUAACACCGGACACUAGUUUUGCACCAAAAAUGUUAACGUUUAUUAUUUUGAUUUACAAUUUGUAAAUGUACUUUUUUCCUUUGAAUAUCCAAC
rnacentral:lncRNA from 1 species